rnacentral:rRNA from 1 species
GUGGGGAAUAUUCCGCAAUGGACGAAAGUCUGAUGGAGCAACGCCGCGUGAGUGAAGAAGGGUUUCGGCUCGUAAAGCUCUGUUGUCGGGGACGAAUGUGCAGUAUUUGAAUAAAGUACUGCAAUGACGGUACCUGACGAGGAAGCCACGGCUAACUACGUGCCAGCAGCCGCGGUAAUACGUAGGUGGCAAGCGUUGUCCGGAAUUAUUGGGCGUAAAGGGAGCGCAGGCGGGAAGGUAAGUCGGUCUUAAAAGUGCGGGGCUCAACCCCGUGAUGGGAUCGAAACUAUCUUUCUUGAGUGCAGGAGAGGAAAGUGGAAUUCCUAGUGUAGCGGUGAAAUGCGUAGAUAUUAGGAGGAACACCAGUGGCGAAGGCGACUUUCUGGACUGUAACUGACGCUGAGGCUCGAAAGCCAGGGGAGCGAACGGGAUUAGAAACCCGAGUAGUCC